rnacentral:rRNA from 1 species
GACGAACGCUGGCGGCGUGCUUAACACAUGCAAGUCGAACGGAAAGGCCCUGCUUUUGUGGGAUUCUCGAGGGGCGAACGGGUGAGUAACACGGGAGUAACCUGCCCUUGACUUGGGGAUAACUUCGGGAAACUGGGUCUAAUACCGGAUAGGAGCUCCUGCUGCAUGUUGGUGGUUGGAAAUUUUCGGCGGUUGGGGAUGGACGCGCGGCUUGUCAGCUUGUUGGUGGGGUAGUGGCUUACCAAGGCUUUGGCGGGUGGCCGGCCUGAGAGGGUGACCGGCCACAUUGGGACGGAGAUACGGCCCGGACUCCUCCGGGAGGCAGCAGUGGGGAAUAUUGAACAAUGGGCGGAAGCCGGAUGCAGCACCGCGGCGUGCGGGAUGACGGCCUCCGGGUUGUAACCCGCUUUCGCAUGUGACGAAGCGUGAGUGACGGUAAUGGGUAAAGAAGCACCGGCUAACUACGUG